rnacentral:rRNA from 1 species
GAUGAACGCUGGCGGCGUGCCUAAUACAUGCAAGUCGAGCGAACGGACGAGAAGCUUGCUUCUCUGAUGUUAGCGGCGGACGGGUGAGUAACACGUGGAUAACCUACCUAUAAGACUGGGAUAACUUCGGGAAACCGGAGCUAAUACCGGAUGAUAUUUUGAACCGCAUGGUUCAAAAGUGAAAGACGGUCUUGCUGUCACUUAUAGAUGGAUCCGCGCUGCAUUAGCUAGUUGGUAAGGUAACGGCUUACCAAGGCAACGAUGCAUAGCCGGCCUGAGAGGGUGAUCGGCCACACUGGAACUGAGACACGGUCCAGACUCCUACGGGAGGCAGCAGUAGGGAAUCUUCCGCAAAGGGCGAAAGCCUGACGGAGCAACGCCGCGUGAGUGAUGAAGGUCUUCGGAUCGUAAAACUCUGUUAUUAGGGAAGAACAUAUGUGUAAGUAACUGUGCACAUCUUGACGGUACCUAAUCAGAAAGCCACGGCUAACUACGUG